rnacentral:rRNA from 1 species
AGUUUACUUCGCAUACCCACUAUAAUCUUACAAAACAUAACUAAUCAAAAUAAUAUAAAAUCAAUCCAAUUUCAAACAAAAAAUUAAUGAGUACUAUAAAGGAAAUAAAAUUUUUAACUUAAAGUAGUGAUAUUUCACGUACCUUGUGCAUUAUGGUUUUACAAGCCAAAAAUUUAAAAUUCUAUCCCGAAUCCUACGCGAGCUGUUCAUCUAUAGCUAAGAGCCCACUACUAGUUGUAGCACCAACUUUAGAAAAUACCUGAACAGAGGCUACAUACCAUGCGCGCUAGAACAUUGCUGGUUUUCAGCUAAAUUUAUAAAUUAAUACAUAUAAUAAAAUUAUACUGUAAGAUUUCAGAGGAUAAGCCCUGUAAUCCUAAGCCAAUAUUCUCAUAUUAAACUACGUAGGCUUAAAACCAGCCAUCGACAAUACUUUACCGUAUAAUAUCUUUAAUAAAUUAUAUCCUGUGCCCCAUAAAGCUGAAAUUUAAGAAAAAUUAAAAAUCUUAAACUAAUCUGUAAAAAUAAGUAUUAGUAAAUCACCUAAAUUCUCCUCAUGAACCUCCUAAUUUACCACCCAUAUAAACACUUAUAAAGGAACUCGGCAAAUAUUAUUUCGACUGUUUAACAAAAACAUUGCUUCUUGCAUGCUCUGAUAAGAAGUAAUUCCUGCCCAGUGAAUAAAUUUCAACGGCCGCGGUAUCCUAACCGUGCAAAGGUAGCAUAAUCACUUGCCCAUUAAUUGUGGGCUAGAAUGAAAGGACUAACGAAAUAAAAACUGUCUCUAUAAGUGACAUAAAAAUUAAUCUCUAACUGAAGAUUGUUAGAUAUCGUCGAAGGACAAGAAGACCCUAUAGAGCUUUAUUUUAAUAAAUAACUAUAAUUUAUAUAAAUUCGGUUGGGGCGACCAGGGAAAUUAAAUAUCAUCCCUUAAUAGCAGAUAACUCAAUCACACACUUGACCCUUUACCAAAGAUCAUCAAAACAAGCUACCUUAGGGAUAACAGGCUAAUCCCACUAAAGAGUCCUUAUCAAUAGUGGGGUUUGGCACCUCGAUGUUGGCUUAGGGAAUCUAUAUGGCGCAAAAGUCACAUAAAGAUGGUUUGUUCAACCAAUAAUACCCUACAUGAGCUGAGUUCAGACCGGCGUAAGCCAGGUUAGUUUCUAUCCUCGAUAAUACAUCUAUUUACAGUACGAAAGGACCUAAAUACGGAUAAUAAUUAUAUGUAAAGAACCAAUAUAAAAUAAUGUAAACAACUAUACACCUAUACUAGGUAAU